rnacentral:tRNA from 1 species
GCCGGAUAGGAAUGCUGGUGCAUUCGGCGGAUUCAUGUCCCGCAUCAGGCAGGUUCGAUUCCUGCAUCCGGCA